UCUGCAUCUAGUACCAAACCAAGAAAAAAUAAUCUCCAACAGAGUACAAAAAAAACCUUCCUGGGAACGUGUUGAAGUGCAAAGAGAGGUAACAAAAGAGGAGGAGCCCUUCCCAGGAGGGUGGCACGGAUGCCCCUCCGGUGGUCCUCCUUGGGGUCUCGCACUCUGGGGCCUCUGGAUGUCUGGGGCCUGGAUCUCCUCCAUGCCUGCUUCAUGCCCUGGGGUACAGGGCUAUGGCUCUCUACAUCCUCUUGCAGACCAUUACAUGUGGAAACCAUUUGAAUACAAGCGCGCUGAUCCACACAGGUGUGCACACAGGUGUUCACUGCUCGUAGACUUAAAUUACACCUUUCUUGGCUGCUACUUCAAAGCACAUUGUGCAAUGUCUGUCCUGCGUGCUGCACAACAACAUUCAAUAUUUAGUAUUUACUGCUGUUUACACUUAGCUAGAUUAAUGCGAUGGUGUUGUGUUUAGUAUGUUGCUUUGUUUUUUUUUUUGCUUGUUUUCUCUUCUUUCUCUCUCAACAGGUGAUCCAGGAGAUUUUUUUCCCCCUUUCUCACUGCCCCUCUCCCCUUCUGUUUUUCUUUUCCUUCCUUUUUCUUUCUCCCUUUCCUAUCCCUCACUCAUGUCUGUCCCAUCUGUAACAACUGAAAAUAAAAUAAAAUAAAUAAUAAAAACAAAGGUCGAUCAAAUGGACCAAUACGGCAAUGCCACGAUGAUCCAUUUGGCAAAAUAAAUCCAUUAGGUAUCCUUGUUGGUCUUCAGACAACAGUUCUGAUGGCUAAAGAACCAAAUGGGACAGGCAAAAAAAUAAAUAAAUAAAAAUAAAAAAAAUAAAUAAAAUGUGUCCUUGAACCAACACAGCUGAUUUAAAUGGCUAAAUUAGCUCCUUAACAUGUCCCGAAGUUCUCCAGAGGCCUGGUAAUGAACUAAUCAUGUGAUUCAGGUGUGUUGACCCAAGGUGAAAUGUAAAACCUGCAGGACACCGGCCCUCGAGGCCUGGAAUUGCCCACCCCUGUCCUAGGACCUGGCGUCCACAUAUGUGGACAUCACAUUUUGGGUUAUUUAGACCAAAAUACUAAAUCUUGCUCAACAAGGGCCUGAUAUCCACUUAUGAGGACAUUAUACUGCAACUGUUCUAUCGAAAUUUCAAAUGAAUAUCCUCAUACGUGGCUCUCAUUUUUUCAGAAACAAAAAUUUGAUAAAAAAAAAAAAAUCUGGUAAUUCUUUGUUUUUAUAUUCAUCAGGUCCCAAUCAGCCCACAUAUCAAAGAGAUAUUAAAAAAUGCAUGCCAUGGAAGAGUUUGGAUCUUAGGAGUUUAAAUCAUUACCACACAAAAAAUGUUUUUUGUGAAAAAGAUGCAGAUUAAACACAAAGGAAAGACCCUGUUUUCUCUUUUUGGACAGUUCUAAUAAAAAACUAUGUACUAACGUAAAACACAAAUGGUAACUGUUGAAUCUGCUUUUUGUCAGGUAUGAACUGAUGUCUUAGUAUACCUCGGUGGGGAGAGAGCUUAUAUUUGUCACAGAAAAUCUUCUACUUAAUACGACCACUUUUAUUCCAAAUCUCAGGGGCCUCUUACAUGCUGUGCUAGAAUCCCAUCUAGGGAACCCUAAAUCAGAUUCUGACUUGUUUAAGUCAUCAUUCAUUUGUUUGUUCAUUUUUCUAGCACUUUUUUUAGAUCUUCAAGAACUAAAAAUCAGUGGAAGUACAUUUGUGAAGAAGGGUG
ensembl:lncRNA